rnacentral:rRNA from 1 species
UACGGGGGGAGCAAGCGUUGUUCGGAUUUACUGGGCGUAAAGGGCGCGUAGGCGGCCACCGCAAGUCGACUGUGAAAUCUCCGGGCUUAACCCGGAAAGGUCAGCCGAUACUGCGGGGCUAGAGUGCAGAAGGGGCAACUGGAAUUCUCGGUGUAGCGGUGAAAUGCGUAGAUAUCGAGAGGAACACCUGCGGCGAAGGCGGGUUGCUGGGCUGACACUGACGCUGGAGGCGCGAAAGCUAGGGGAGCGAACGGG